AUGAGGGUGUUUUGGUAAUUUAACUAUCCAAUGUAGGACUACUUUGUGUAAAAUAAAUCAAGGGAGGUACUGAAAUGGUUUAAUUGGAAGAAAAGUUUGGGAAUUGGACUGAUCUUGUUAAGAAAUCUCUAUAGGAGGGACUGUUUUGUUUAAAAUACACCAAAGUUUGUGGGAAUGGACUCAUUUUGUAUAAAUGGUUCAACUGAGGGUUUAUUUUGUUUAUUUUACAAAAGAUAAAAGAAUUUUAGGGCUUUUAUGCCGUCCAUCGUCAUUUGACUGAUCGAUUAAAAGGAAGGAGAAACACAAACGAAUGACAGCCGGCAAGAAAUCACGAAGGCUCGCAGGUAGUUAAUCCGAUGUUUUGUCCACCGAUCGCGAGAAGGGAGCGUCUCCGGGGGUCGACGAGAACGAAGAAAGGAAGGGAAGAAGCAACGAGGCUUCUCUCUUCCUCCGAUAGCGAAGUGCGAAGGGGGAAAGGAGAAUUGGUCCGAUUGAAACGACGCGAGCAGCAACAGUAGUGCAGGCGAGGCUUCGGCGGCCGUUGUUUGAUAGGAGGAAUGAGAUGCGAAGAAACUGGUCCGGUAGAGUGAAAAAGAGAUACGAAUUAAGAAAAACAAAAUAAAAAAUGCCUCCCGUGGUUGACAGGACCGGGAAGGGAAGCGGAACAGAAGCAGUGGGGCUGUUGGUGGUCUCGGUGGGUGCAGCGAGAGGCUGCUCAAGCAGCUUCUCGACUGCUUGCUUCAGCUCCGGAAAAGGAGAAGGAAGAACGACAGGGAAGCUGUUGUUCUUCCGGUUUGCUGGUAAACACAAGCAUCACUAAUUCUUCAUAUUUCAGAUGGGUGUUUGUGUAUUGCUUAUUUGACUACAGGGAAGGAAGAAAUAAGCUUGGAGUGUAGGAAGUUUGUGUGAAGUCUUGUAGGAUUUCUUUUGUGUAGAUGAACACUACAAGAGUUGUACAAUACUUGAAAGUGUGACUUACACUUCAUAUAAAUUGAAAUGUGGUAGGAAGCUAUUACUUUUGGCUGUAAAUUUGGUGUACUUUGGGUUAUUCAUGUAUGCAUUAUAUUAGUCAAUAAGUAUGUAAUUUGUGUGUAUUGAUAUAUUGAUUUAAUUGGGUAUGUAUUUGUGUGUGUAUUGGUAUAUAUUUCUACUAGAUUUAAUGUA